GACGAACGCUGGCGGCGUGCUUAACACAUGCAAGUCGAACGAUGAAGCUGGAGCUUGCUCCGGUGGAUUAGUGGCGAACGGGUGGGUAACACGUGAGCAAUCUGCCCUUGACUCUGGGAUAACUGCGGGAAACUGUAGCUAAUACCGGAUACUUUCACUGGGAGGCAUCUUCUGGUGAAGAAAGAAUUUCGGUCAAGGAUGAGCUCGCGGCCUAUCAGCUUGUUGGUGAGGUAACGGCUCACCAAGGCGACGACGGGUAGCCGGCCUGAGAGGGUGACCGGCCACACUGGGACUGAGACACGGCCCAGACUCCUACGGGAGGCAGCAGUGGGGAAUAUUGCACAAUGGGCGCAAGCCUGAUGCAGCAACGCCGCGUGAGGGAUGAAGGCCUUCGGGUUGUAAACCUCUUUUAGCAGGGAAGAAGCGAAAGUGACGGUACCUGCAGAAAAAGCACCGGCUAACUACGUGCCAGCAGCCGCAGUAA
rnacentral:rRNA from 1 species